CGCGCGCAUUCGAAUCCAGGUGCCCUGCGCCGCAAACGCGCGCCAGGGUGAAACGGGAAGUCCGGUAAUGCCGCCCCACGCGGGCAGCCAUCCCGGCGCAGCCCCCGCUGCUGUAGUCCUGACGGAUGCCGCACCCCGCCACUGGGCUUUGCCCGGGAAGGCCGCGGCAUCCGGAUGAAGGCGAGCCAGAAGACCGGCCUGGUCGAUUGAAGGUCA
rnacentral:ncRNA from 2 species